CCCCUCCCUCUACUCACACCAGUGUUUGGCUUUGCUAUUUCCAAAUCUACCUAGAAGCUGAUGGACAAGAGAGCUCAUGAACUGCAUUCCUAACGUUGUUCAUGGAACAGGAUGGUGAGCUGACCUGGAAGGGCAGGUGGAAAACACGGGACAGAAUGAAGAAGAAUGAAAAAGAGGGGAAAAGGAAGUUAGCAGGCAAAUAUCACAGCACCUGGAAACAGCGAUGGCCAGACGGAGGCGGGAUGCAGACGCAUUGGGGAGUAUCACAGACUGUCGGUACAGUAGCCAGAGACACCGGGUGUGGACAUUCAGACCUUCUCUGCCUGUUUGGCUUGUCUGGUUGGUUCACGUCUCAAAGGCUGGGAGCCUGUCGCACACCUCAUUUGUGCUCUGACUUGGUCCAAAGCUGUCACAUUGCCCUGUGCAAAGUCCAGUUCUAAGGCUGUGGGAGUGACAAAAUACUUUCUGCUCUGCUGACAGCCUAUGAAAUUAUGUGAGGAGAUUCUUAGAAAUAUUUAUUUCUGAGGCUUGAAAGAAGACUAAAAACUCCAGAGCCAAAAGAUGGAACUGAGGCUCUUACAGGGUCUGAGCCAGGAGUCUGAGCCAGCCACGUAACCCUUCAUCCAGGCUGUUUCUGAAGCACUAAGGGGCAAAAGCCCUAGUGAUUAGGCAUAUUUAUGAAUACAGGAGACUAUAUUCAAAAUUAUUAUUCAAAUAUUUCAGAUAAAAGUGGCAGAAUUUUAACAGUGUUUAAGUGUUAAGCCUAUGAGUAAAAGAAGCAUUUAUUUUAAAUAAAAAAUUUCCUUCAGUGAUUGAGAAAUACUAUGUCAGCAUUCUUUUUCUCUAUCUAUGUACAUGUGACAAAUGGUGGUUGAAAAGGGAUCCAGUUCACGGGAUUGUCUUUCUGCCGUCCAAUCCAUCAUCUUCACAAACACAAUUGUUAUUUAGAGAAAGCUUAUUACUGGGCAUGCACUUUACAGAAAACCCCUGCCUGGAGACCUUCGUCGAUUUUCAUCCUGCAGAUGGACUUUCUCAGCUGGGGAAAGGGAAAGAGAAGAGAGCUCGAGUCACAAGAGGUGUCCACAGAACAGAGGUUGAGCAUCUUUCUGAAACAUUGUGUAAUUGAUGGUAAGUGAAUGUAUUUUAAAAUAUUGCAACAAAUAGAUGUGUAAAUAAUUAUAAUGCAAAAUGAAAUAAACUUUUAAGAUUAACAUUAUUUCAAAACAGAAGGUCAUACUUGCCAUAGGCUGCUUUAGGAUACAUGAGAAUCCUACAGCCUAGAAGCCUGGGUCAAUACUCCUUAAUUUUCAGAGAGAGAUACCAGGAAAGUGCUUCAUGGAUUACAUCCUUAAAAUAGAUGUUUAAUCCUUACCCUCUGAUCUUUCUCCAAUUUUGCUUCCUCCCUCCUUUCUUGUUAUCCUUUCCUCCCUCAUUCAUUUAUUCACUAAAUAUUUUUUGAGCAUCUCCUUUGUGUCAGGCACCAUGUUGAGCUUAAUAAAUACAGAAGGGAAUACAACACAUGGGCUUCCUUUGCUGACAGAGCCUUUGGUCUACCGGGCAGGAAGAGAGUCAGCAAAGAAACAAGAAAACAGACGUAUGUACUUAGCAUCAAAAGCUAUUUUUGAAUACGUGCAAAGAUUAAAACUUUUAAUGAGUCAUGAGAGAUAGUGUUAUAUGGUUGGGGGUGGGGAGAAGCAUCAUUACAGAGGGCCUUUGAGGAUAUAGUAGUUAAGCAAGGCGUUAAAGAAAAGAAGUCCAUGUAGAUCUGGAGAAAGACCAAUCUCACCAGAAGCUCUGAAGAAUAGCAAGCCAGGUAAGAGGCUGCUGCUGCUGCUGCUAAGUCGCUUCAGUGGUGUCUGACUCUGUGCGACUCCAUAGAUGGCAGCCCACCAGGCUCCCCCGUCCCUGGGAUUCUCCAGGCAAGAACACUGGAGUGGGUUGCCAUUUCCUUCUUCAAUGCAUGAAAGUGAAAGUGAAGUCGCUCAGUUGUGUCUGACUCUUCGCGACCCCAUGGACUGCAGCCCACCAGGCUCCUCCAUCUAUGGCAUUUUCCAGGCAAGAGUACUGGAGUGGGGUGCCAUCACCUUCUCCAAGGUAAGAGGCUAGAGUAGCUAAAAAGAGUGAGGCAAUGGGAGACAGGUAGAAGAUGGGUCAGAGAGAUUGUGGGGCUAUGUCACAAAAUCUCUGGAAGACACUGUAGAUACAAGGACAAUGCUAGUAAACUAAUAAUGACAAUUAAUUUAGCAUGCAUAUUGUUAUAAUAUAGUAUGAUAUUAAGCCCUGCUCAGAGAUGUUAAGUGAAUUUCUCAAGCACACACAGUAGCUGUGUCCAUUGGGCUCCAAACUUGUGCUGUGCCCUUAGAAGGAUACUGUCCCUCUGGAGGCUAAUCGACUUGCUCUAAGCCACAGAGACGUUGGUGGGAAUAGUAUUUAAGCUUGGGCUUUUGACGAUGAGCCCUCUCUGUAGGCAACUUUACAUGACCUUGAGGAAAAAAAGCUAUGUAUAGUUGCAACUCACCAAAUGGAAAUUUUUGUUCCUCUUGUAAGACUUUGGGAAGAUAGUCAUAGGCACUUCAAAAACAAAGGCAGAAGAUGGAAGGGUGAUCAAAUAUACUGAUAAGCAUUCUGCUAGAGAGAAUUCACUAGCUGCUAUGGAUUGACUGAGUUAGGAGCCGAAGGGUUCAACUUCAGCGAGAAGACUCAUAUCGCCCCCUGUCGGUAAACUAGAGUAGCUGCAGGGAAUGCUCAGGUCAGAACACAGAAGUCUGGCAGCCAUUUUGCACUUUCAAGCAUCACCAGGGUGUGGAGUCCUGCGCUUCCCCACAGGUUCCCAGACUCCACUGAGGCACGGAUGGUAGGCUUAGCAUUGAUGGAGGGUUAGAAAAUUCUAGAAUACUAGCACUUGAGUGCCACAUCAUCCAAUUCCAAUUUCUUUCUUAUACAGAGGGUGAGAUCAGUGUCUAAAGAGAAGAAGGGACUGGCCCAGGACAACACACAUAUUGGCAGACUUGAAAUGAGAGCCUGAGUUUCCAGAACGCAAGACCAGAACCCGAUAAAGCCAGCUCAGUGAAACAAGGGGAUACUCUUUCAGGUUCCUUUUGAGACAAAUCGUAGAAUAAAUAGUCUUUACAACUCUUGGUAUUUAUUUAUUUAUUAUUUUUUAAUAUAAAUUUAUUUAUUUUAAUUGGAGGUU
rnacentral:lncRNA from 1 species